rnacentral:lncRNA from 1 species
UAGAGAUGAGGUCUCACUAUGUUGCCCAGGCUGGUCCUGGUCUUGAACUCCUAGCCUCAAGUGAUCCUCCUACUUCAACCUCACUUUUGCUGGGAUUACAGGUCCUUGCGUGUUUAAGAAGAAAUGCCAAUCCCUCUGGUUUUCUUUGCUGGAGCAGCAAAGAGCAGCAAGGUGCCCAGCAGGAGCUCCUGGCACAACAAGCUCAUGCUGUGGAGAGACUCCUCACCAGGCGAUCAGCAGAGCCAAUCCUGCCACCAACAGAUGUGUUGAAUGCAGAGACUAAACUGUGAUUGUUUUCCUCCAACACACAAACACCCAUUACACACCAAACCCCAGCUGUCUUCCAACAACCGGCAGCCCAGGUUGAGUUGCUAUGUGUACACAGUUAGUUUCAACCCACCAUACCAGCAGUCACAGAUUCCUGGGCCCCAGAGUCCAGUUUAGGAAAGGGGGACAGUUCUGCUCAACAGUGAAUUCUGGUAUACCUCCGAGGGACCAGAACUGGCUUAAGAAAGGCUAGAAACACACUGUUGAAAAGAAAGUCCAAUAAGGAAAUUCUAAUGGAAUAUAAUUCUAUACACAUUUAAGAGGAUGAGUAUAAUUUUUUAUUCCUUUGCAAAAUUGGAAAUGCAGCCCUACUUUGAAGACCAUUUUCCUUACCUGGCAUACAAGCAUUAGAGGGCAGGAGGAAUAUGCUAAAGAGUGAGGGUCUGGCAUAAUGAGGCCUUCAUGUGAGUAUCCAUUGAGGAAGCAAUGCAGCCACCAUAGUCAGAACAAUGCAGCCGCCAUAGAAAAUGCACCCAGAGGAUGGGCGCAGUGGCUCACACCUGUAAUCCCAGCAUUUUGGGAGGCCGAGGCGGGCAGAUCACCUGAGGCCAGGAGUUUGAGACCAGUCUGGCCAAUAUGGUGAGACCCUGUCACUACCAAAAAUGUAAAAAUUAGCCAGCCCUGGUGGUGUGUGCCUGUAAUCCCAGCUACUCAGGAGGCUGAGGCAGGAGAAUUGCUUGAACCUGGGAGGCGGAGGUUGCAGUGAGCCAAGAUUGCACCACUGCACUCCAGCCUGGGCGACAGAGCGAGACUCCAUCUCAAAAAUUAAUUAAUUAAUUAAUUAAUUAAAGAAAAAUGCACCCAGAAAUGGAGUGAAAACAUGAGAGUGAAAACCGACCAGACAGUAGUCAAGUGACAAAUACAACUUCCACAGACAAGCCAAUAAGGAUGGCUUUAAUGGAACACCAGCGAAGGAGAGAAUAAAAACUGGGAUUGGGAAGGGACUGGAGAUGAGAAGAAGAAAGGGACAGCCAGCUGGGAUGAAAACAAGGACAGGAAGAGGGAGCAAAAGACAAGAAAGUUGUGCGUGGAAGGGCAGGCAUGGAGAAAGUGCAAGAGUUGGAAGGAAACAGUCAGUUUCGGUUCUGCUGGCCUGUAAUCCCAGCUAUUUGGGAGGCUGAGGCAGGGGAUUGGAUCGCUUGAGCCCAGGAGUUUAAGAAUAGCUUGGGCAACAUUGUGAGAGCCAGUCUCCAUAAAAAGGAGUUGGAAAGAAACACAUGAGACACAUGAUAGUCAAAUGACAUAAACCUGG